rnacentral:tRNA from 1 species
GCCCCGUUCGUCUAGCGGCUAGGACGCCGGCCUCUCACGCCGGUAACACGGGUUCAAAUCCCGUACGGGGUAC